CUGGAGUAGUAUUAGUUAUGUUCUUGAAACUUAAAAAAUUUGGCGGUAUUUUAGUCUAUUCAGAGGAACCUGUCCUAUAAUCGAUAAUCCACGAUGGACCUAACUUUAACUUGUAAUUCAGUUUAUAUACCGUCGUUAUCAGAGAAUUUUAAAAGAAAAAUAAUUCUCUAGAAAUUUAAUUAAAUCGUAUAUCAGAUCAAGGUGUAGCUUAUGUUAAAGGAGAGAUGGGUUACAAUAAAACUAUUUAUAUGGAAGAAAUAAUGAAAAUAUUUCUGAAAGUGGAUUUGAUAGUAAAGUUAUAUAGAUUAAUAACUUGAUUUUAGCUCUAAAAUAUGUACACAUCGCCCGUCGCUCUUAA
rnacentral:rRNA from 1 species